ACUGUUAGGCAACCAGUCUCU
rnacentral:snRNA from 1 species